rnacentral:rRNA from 1 species
AUACGUAGGGUGCGAGCGUUGUCCGGAAUUACUGGGCGUAAAGAGCUCGUAGGUGGUUUGACGCGUCGUCUGUGAAAUUCCGGGGCUUAACUCCGGGCGUGCAGGCGAUACGGGCAUAACUUGAGUACUGUAGGGGAGACUGGAAUUCCUGGUGUAGCGGUGAAAUGCGCAGAUAUCAGGAGGAACACCGGUGGCGAAGGCGGGUCUCUGGGCAGUAACUGACGCUGAGGAGCGAAAGCAUGGGUAGCGAACAGGAUUAGAUACCCUGGUAGUCCAUGCCGUAAACGGUGGGCGCUAGGUGUAGGGGUCUUCCACGACUUCUGUGCCGUAGCUAACGCAUUAAGCGCCCCGCCUGGGGAGUACGGCCGCAAGGCUAAAACUCAAAUGAAUUGACGGGG